UACGUAGGGGGCUAGCGUUGUCCGGAAUCAUUGGGCGUAAAGAGCGUGUAGGCGGCCCGGUAAGUCCGCUGUGAAAGUCGGGGGGCUCAACCCUCGAAUGCCGGUGGAUACUGUCGGGCUAGAGUGCGGAAGAGGCGAGUGGAAUUCCUGGUGUAGCGGUGAAAUGCGCAGAUAUCAGGAAGAACACCCGUGGCGAAAGCGGCUCUCUGGGGACGGUACUGACGCUGAGACGCGAAAGCGUGGGGAGCGAACAGG
rnacentral:rRNA from 1 species